rnacentral:rRNA from 1 species
CCUACGGGAGGCUGCAGUGGGGAAUAUUGGACAAUGGGGGCAACCCUGAUCCAGCCAUGCCGCGUGUGUGAAGAAGGCCCUCGGGUUGUAAAGCACUUUCAGUGAGGAAGAACGCCUGGUGGUUAAUACCCAUCAGGAAAGACAUCACUCACAGAAGAAGCACCGGCUAACUCCGUGCCAGCAGCCGCGGUAAUACGGAGGGUGCGAGCGUUAAUCGGAAUUACUGGGCGUAAAGCGCGCGUAGGUGGCUUGAUAAGCCGGUUGUGAAAGCCCCGGGCUCAACCUGGGAACGGCAUCCGGAACUGUCAAGCUAGAGUGCAGGAGAGGAAGGUAGAAUUCCCGGUGUAGCGGUGAAAUGCGUAGAGAUCGGGAGGAAUACCAGUGGCGAAGGCGGCCUUCUGGACUGACACUGACACUGAGGUGCGAAAGCGUGGGUAGCAAACAGGAUAGAUACCCUUGUAGUC